rnacentral:lncRNA from 10 species
UCUCAUAUUACCAGGGUUGGUUUUCUGGUUCCUUCUCACUUGGGUAGGCUCUAUCAGAGGGAAGUUCUAGGGCUGAAGGCUGUUGUUCAGAUUCUUUUGUCCCAUGGGUGUGUUUACUUGUUGUAGUACUCUCCCCUUUUUCCUAUAGAUGUGGCUUCCUGUGAGCUAAAUUGCAGUGUUUGUUGUCUCUUUUCUGGGUCUAGCCACCUAGUGACUCUACUCAGCUCCGGGCUGGCACUGGGGGUUGUCUGCACGGAGUACUGUGAUGUGAACCGUCUAUUGGUCUCUCAGCCAUGGAUACCAGUUCCUGUUCCAGUGGAGGUGGUGGGGAGUGCAAUGGACUCCGUGAGGGUUCUUAGCUUUAAUGCUCUAGUUUUGUGAUGGUUGGCCUCCUGCCAGGAGGAAUCAGCUCCAGGGAGUAUCAGCUGUAGUAGUAUGUAUAGGGACCAGUGGUGGGGGUUGGGGGUCCUAGAACUCCCAAGGUUAUAUGCCCUUUGUCUUCGGUUACCACGGUGGAUAGGGAGGGGCCAUUAGUUGGGGGUGGGGCUAGGUGUGUCUGAGCUCUGACUCUCCUUGUGUGGGUCUUUCUGUGGCUGUUGUGGGGGAUAGGGGUGAGAUGCCCAGGUUAAUGGAGUUGUGUACAUAGGAGGAUUAUGCUGCCUCUGCUGAGUCAUGCAGGUUGUCAGGGAAGUGGGGGAAAGCCGGCAGUCAUAGGCCUCACCCAGCUCCCAUGCAAACCAAAGAGCAGUUCUCAUGGAGCCUGUUUCCAGGUGGUGGGCAAGAUGGGCUUGAAAACUUGCCUCAGGCUACCUGCCUCUCAACUAUGGAAAAAAAGGGCUUGGUUCUUCCCCUGCCUGUGGAGUCUGCACAACAGAUUUGUGCCCUCCCAUGAGUUCUGGCCAGGAGGCUUCUCGCCCUGUUCAAAUUGUUACAAAGUUCAACUAUAGAUUUCUUUCUUCCUGUGGAGUUUCAACACCUGCUCCUCUGGCCACCCUCACAAUGGAUCCCUGUGGUGCCAAGCAGGAAUGGCCUGUUUGGGCACCCAGUGAGCUCCCAGGGCCUUUCUACUGCUUCCUCAAACCCUGUAUUUUGCUCAGCUCUCUAAAUGGAUUCAACUCCAGAGAAGACUAUCAAGUAGUUAGGAAAGAAAGUCAGUGAGAUGUCUCAGGCGUGACUCAGCUACGGAAACAAUAGCAAUCAGAGGACAUUUGGAGAUGAAGAAAAAAAAGAAACAAACUUCAAUACAAUGAGAAAUAUACCAGUACAUGUAUGACACUCAAGUAACAUAAUGAUCUUAAGGCUAAUUUACUACCUCCUUGUUGCCUGACAGAGACCUGGAACCAAACCCAGAACUUCACUUCCCUGUGCCAGAAGGAUUCCAGUGAGCUUUUCCCACAGGCCCUACAGUCUUCUCCAGGUGAACCUCGGUCACUAUCUAUAUUUAUUAAUGGUUUCUGUCCUGUAAAUAUCUUCUAUAAUAAAAGAUU